rnacentral:rRNA from 1 species
GGAAUAACUGUUUCAGUGAAACUAAAAAGAAAUUUCUUAAUAGGUGAAAAUUCCUUUAGUUAAUAUAAUAGACGAGAAGACCCUAAGAAUUAUAUAUUAAAAUUAUAGUUUUAUAACAAAAUUUUUGUUGGGGCAACAGAUUUGGUAAAAUCAAUAACUUUUAGAUUUGCAUAUUAAGUAUAUUUAAUAAGAAUUUAAUUACCUUAGGGAUAACAGCAUUAUUGAUAUAUCAGAUUGUGACCUCGAUGUUGGACUAGGGACUUUUAAAGUAAGCCAUUUUAAAAGAUUGUUCUGUUCGAACAUAAAAC